AGUGAACGCUGGCGGUAGGCCUAACACAUGCAAGUCGAACGGCAGCACAGUAAGAGCUUGCUCUUACGGGUGGCGAGUGGCGGACGGGUGAGGAAUACAUCGGAAUCUACUUUUUCGUGGGGGAUAACGUAGGGAAACUUACGCUAAUACCGCAUACGACCUACGGGUGAAAGCAGUGGAUCUUCGGACCUUGCGCGAUUGAAUGAGCCGAUGUCGGAUUAGCUAGUUUGCGGGGUAAAGGCCCACCAAGGCGACGAUCCGUAGCUGGUCUGAGAGGAUGAUCAGCCACACUGGAACUGAGACACGGUCCAGACUCCUACGGGAGGCAGCAGUGGGGAAUAUUGGACAAUGGGCGCAAGCCUGAUCCAGCCAUACCGCGUGGGUGAAGAAGGCCUUCGGGUUGUAAAGCCCUUUUGUUUGGAAAGAAAAACAGCAGGUUAAUACCCCGCUGUUCUGACGGUACCCAAAGAAUAAGCACCGGCUAACUUCGUG
rnacentral:rRNA from 1 species